rnacentral:rRNA from 1 species
UGGGGAAUUUUGGACAAUGGGGGAAACCCUGAUCCAGCCAUCCCGCGUGUGCGAUGAAGGCCUUCGGGUUGUAAAGCACUUUUGGCAGGAAAGAAACGUCAUGGGUUAAUACCCCGUGAAACUGACGGUACCUGCAGAAUAAGCACCGGCUAACUACGUGCCAGCAGCCGCGGUAAUACGUAGGGUGCAAGCGUUAAUCGGAAUUACUGGGCGUAAAGCGUGCGCAGGCGGUUCGGAAAGAAAGAUGUGAAAUCCCAGAGCUCAACUUUGGAACUGCAUUUUUAACUACCGGGCUAGAGUGUGGCAGAGGGAGGUGGAAUUCCGCGUGUAGCAGUGAAAUGCGUAGAUAUGCGGAGGAACACCGGUGGCGAAGGCAGCCUCCUGGGAUAACACUGACGCUCAGGCACGAAAGCGUGGGGAGCAAACAGG